ensembl:lncRNA
GCCAUGUAAUUUUCUACUGCCUCUAUAUAGCCAUGUUAUUUUCUACUGCCUCUAUAUAGGCAGGUCAUUUUCUACUGCCUCUAUAUAGCCAUGUUAUUUUCUACUGCCUCUAUAUAGCCAUGUUAUUUUCUACUGCCUCUAUAUAGCCAUGUUAUUUUCUACUGCCUCUAUAUAGCCAUGUUAUUUUCUACUGCCUCUAUAUAGCCAUGUGAUUUUCUACUACUUCUAUAUAGCCAUGUGAUUUUCUACUAUACAUAGCCAUCCUUGUUAUUUUCUACUGCCUCUAUAUAGCCAUGUUAUUUUCUACUGCCUAUAUAUAGCCUUGUUAUUUUCUACUGCCUAUAUAUAGCCUUGUUAUUUUCUACUACUUCUAUAUAGCCUUGUUAUUUUCUACUACUUCUAUAUAG